rnacentral:misc_RNA from 1 species
AACGCACAUUGCACUGUCUGGAAUUCCGGACAGUAUGUCUGUUUGAGCAUCAUUUCUUCCUCCUGUCUCUUGAUUGCAAACAAGGUCUUUGGACUUGAAUGAACUUUCAAGACGUGCAGGGACUUGAAGCGUAGUCAGCAAUUGUUGCUGGCUUGUUUCCAAAGAACCGUUAAACAGUUGGCACGUACAAACUGCACAGUUAAGUCCGUCAGGAAUCUCUGCUGUGGUGACCGUGUUAGCGUGUUUACCAUUCACAUCGUUGACAAGGGUGCGCACGCAAGCGCGUACUCUGAACUUUGAUCUCAAAUCAGACAAGACUACCCGCUGAACUUAA